UUAAAAGGACUGUAGCUGUCAUUUUAUGCGUAUAGAUAGUACCCUUACAAGCGUUUUCUGAUCAAUAAUCUUUUCUUUCAAAAUUUCUUCAGAAGUUACGGAGAAAAAAUUGUCGUAAUUGAACACAUUUUUUAUCUGGAAACUAUUAUUGAUUAGCUGAAGAUUAAAGGGCACAUGUGCAAAUCGAAAAUUCCCAUUGUACGACCGACAUGCAGUCCCUUUAAGCUUGAAUUAUACAAAAAAAAUUUUAGGGAAAUCCGAGAAAUCAACGAAAAGAGAAAUCGGUUUGGAUAAACACCGAGACAUAGAAAACCGGGAUGAACCGGCUUGGUAAAACAUACACAUCUUGAAACCGGUUUUGUUAAGCAUCAACAGCUUGAAACUGGUUUGAACUAUUCUAGAACCGGUUUUUAUACCUUUUAACACCAAGAAACCGGUUUAGAUUUGUUCUAAAUGUAUUAACUGAAAUAAUUUUUUAUGUAAACUUUUAAAAUUGUAAUGUGUCUCUCUUAUCAAAAGUACUAAACAUAACCUUAAAAGUUCAAAUAAAAACAUUUCACUUCUAUUAUUUUCUUAACGGAUAGAAUUUGCUAUCUCUAAUUUCAUUAUUAAAAUCUAAUGAAAUGCCACCGAAUGUUGCCAAAAUAUACACGAUGUAGAAAAUGCUAAACAAUUUUUAAUUUCAAUUUUUGAAUUAUUAUCAACAUUCAACAACAUUCAACAACAAUAUUAAACAACAUUCAACAACGCAUUUCUAUAUCUCAAGGUUAUGUCUUUCCAGUAUCUAUUAUAUUAAGUAAUUAUAUAUAAAAAAUGUUUAAAGCCAACAGCAAAUUCGAAUUUUAUUAAGAUGAAAGUUCACCUAUUUUUUUCUAUGGUUGUAAAAUUCACAGUCCUAAUUCACCAGUGUUUGUACAGAUUGUACAUAAAUGUUUUCGUUAGUUUUGUAGUACACAGUGCAGUACUGUGAUAAACUCGUUAGGAUAAGUUUGCUCUGUGGCCUAAAGUUGCGGAUUCCUUUUUUUUGUUGCGAAUUUUUCCCAUUUUUGGAGGUUCCCUACCAAGUUUUUUUCCCAGGAAAAUUGUCUUUUUGAAUGUAUCAAAUUCUGUAUGCAUUCAAAAAUCAAAUGAAAUCUUGAUAACGUUUUUUUUUACAUGCAUUCCAAUUGUUCAUCCGAAAACUAUUUUUUAAAAAUACCCUCUUUUUAUAGAGUGGCAUGUAUUAUUCACAAUCGUGCCUUUUUCCCUUCAUGUGAGCUAAUUUAUCACUCUGUUAAACUGACUUGUAAUAAAUGUCAGAAAUUGACUGACUUCCACUUUUCAAAAUGAAGAAUGACUGUAUCUUCCACAUGCUCAGAUACUGACUUAAAGAGUACCCUUGUAAAUCAGGCACACUAAUGCUACAUUUUAAGAGAAGAAUUCUAAUUUAUACAUAUCCGGAUAUUCGGAAGAGAUCAUUUACUUUUUAAAAAGGUGUUUUUUGAAAUUUCAGCGUAAACAUUAUUUUUCAAAUUUAAUUUUUUGUCCUUUCUUUUCGAAAAUAUAAACCCCCGAAAGCCAUUUUUAUACUUUUUGUAUUUAUAUUUAUAAAUCAUAUGAAAAUACAUAUAAUUUGUACUUCUUGAAUUGAAUUGUGCACAAAUGUACCAAAAAUGCCUUACGGUUGUUAUCUUUGUACUUCCUUGUAUUUGAAAGCACAGAAAUAAAUGUUAGUUAAGAUGUUAA